AUUGAACGCUGGCGGCAGGCCUAAUACAUGCAAGUCGAGCGGACGAAGGGAGCUUGCUCCUGGAUUCAGCGGCGGACGGGUGAGUAAUGCCUAGGAAUCUGCCUGGUAGUGGGGGAUAACGUCCGGAAACGGGCGCUAAUACCGCAUACGUCCUGAGGGAGAAAGUGGGUGAUCUUCGGACCUCACGCUAUCAGAUGAGCCUAGGUCGGAUUAGCUAGUGGGUGGGGUAAAGGCCUACCAAGGCGACGAUCCGUAACUGGUCUGAGAGGAUGAUCAGUCAGACGGGAACUGAGACACGGUCCAGACUCCUACGGGAGGCAGCAGUGGGGAAUAUUGGACAAUGGGCGAAAGCCUGAUCCAGCCAUGCCGCGUGUGUGAAGAAGUUCUUCGGAUUGUAAAGCACUUUAAGUUGGGAGGAAGGGCAGUAAGUUAAUACCUUGCUGUUCUGACGUUACCAACAGAAUAAGCACCGGCUAACUUCGUG
rnacentral:rRNA from 1 species